rnacentral:rRNA from 1 species
AACGUAGGAGACAAACGUUAUCCGGAGUUACUGGGCGUAAAGGGCGUGUAGGUGGUUGAGUAAGUCUGGCGUGAAAUUUUUCGGCUUAACCGGGAAAGGUCGUCGGAUACUGCACAACUAGAGGACGGUAGAGGCGUGUGGAAUUCCGGGUGUAGUGGUGAAAUGCGUAGAGAUCCGGAGGAACACCAGUGGCGAAGGCGACACGCUGGGCCGUACCUGACACUGAUGCGCGACAGCAUGGGGAGCAAACAGG